GAUGGAUGCAUUUUUUCCUUGCUCUGUUUACUUAGCCAUUGGAAGUGCCUAGUGGUCCAUUUCCAGUGAGAAGUGGUGAACAACAAGGUACUCCGCAGUCCUUUGCAGAAAGUUCCUGGGGAUGAUUGCCUUAUUUCUUCCACCACACUAGGAAACUUUCCCACACCAUUCCAGUCUUAACGUUGUUGGUAUCGUUGCUGUACAGAGCAUAGCAGCAUAAUGACCAGCCGAAAGCUUGUCCUUCAGUGCAUCUUCCACACCAGGAGACAGACAUUUGCAGACUAGAAGGUGGAAAAACAGGCUGCAAGAUGACAUGUUCAGCUAGGUAAUGAAUGCCUCUGGGAUAGCUGAAACGGAGCUCAGAGCCCAGAGGACUUCAGUGUCAGAGAAACUGGAUGUGGACAUGGAGAGCAGGCGAGCAUCCAAGGAGCAGGAGCAUGCCAUGCAGGAAGAGAUGCUAUGGAUUAUGGAGGACCAAUCAGACCUGUUGAGGCAUCUGGUUGAGAUUGAAGAAAAGAAGCUUGAGGCUAGACUCCCUCUGCAUCCCCUGCAGAACUACCUGCAAAUAUCUACCUGUUCCCAAUCCCCCUCCUUCCAGGAGGCAGAGUAGAGGGGGAGAGGAAGUUGAGAAUCCUUUACACUUAACAUUGCGGGAGGCUACCAAGAACAAAAGGUGCCCCUUUUUAAGACCUUUGGUCAAGACUACUGUGCUUUCAAAGACAAGCUGACUUGUCUUGUCUCUCCCCCCACUCCCAAUAUUAUCAGACUGUUUA